UGAGGAAUAUUGGUCAAUGGGCGCAAGCCUGAACCAGCCAUCCCGCGUGCAGGAAGACGGCCCUAUGGGUUGUAAACUGCUUUUCCAGGGGGAGAAACUUGCGCACGUGUUGCGCAAUUGACGGUACCCUGGGAAUAAGCAUCGGCUAACUCCGUGCCAGCAGCCGCGGUAAUACGGAGGAUGCGAGCGUUAUCCGGAUUCAUUGGGUUUAAAGGGUGCGUAGGCGGACUAUUAAGUCAGUGGUGAAAUCCUGCAGCUUAACUGCAGAACUGCCAUUGAUACUGAUAGCCUUGAGUUUGGUUAAGGUAGGCGGAAUGUGUAAUGUAGCGGUGAAAUGCUUAGAUAUUACACAGAACACCAAUUGCGUAGGCAGCUUACUGAGCCGACACUGACGCUGAGG
rnacentral:rRNA from 1 species